rnacentral:lncRNA from 1 species
AGAUCCAUGUCUGCUCGUUUCUGUCUUUUUCCCCUUUUUCUCUCUCUGCUAUGCUCGUACUUCUCACCUUCUCUCUGGGCAAGGCUUGUGAACAAGAGAGAUUGAAAUUUAACAGAAUGACUAAGUAGUGUUGGGUCUUUAAGAGAAACCCAUAUAUCUUCUUUUCGAUCUUCUUUUUUUUCCCCUUAUUCUCUCUCUGCUAUGCUCGUACUUCUCAACUUCUCUCUGGGCAAGGCUUGUGAGAACAAGAGAGAUUGAAAUUUAACAGAAUGACUAGGCAGUGUUGGGUCUUUAAGAGAAACCUAUCUAUCUUCUUUUCGAUCUUCUUUUUUUUUCCUUCUUUCUUUGUUCUUCUUUUCUUUCUCUAUUUGAUUCUUUGCUCUCAAGAAACUGAAAAAGAAAUAGAAUGCUAGAAAGAUUACCAUUCUAAUUUGUUUUCUACCAUCUUCUUCCUUACCUCUUUCUGAUAUUCUUUUCUUUCCCUCUCCACAUUGAAGAGAAUGGAGGGGUUUCAGACCUCGUUUCUGUCUUUUUCCCCUUUUUCUCUCUCUCUUUUGUGCUUGUAUCUCUCUCCUUCUCUCUGGGCAAGGCCAGAUCUGAAAACAAAGAACGUUGAAAACUUUUUGAAAGUAAAAGAAAGACGAAAGAAAGGAAGAAGGUGGUCUGAAGAGGAGAAUUGGAAAACUUUUGUGGGGUUUUAAUCUAAUCGCACGGUCAGUUUGCUUUUAAAGGGGAGAUAAAGAAAUUCAGACUGCGUUAAAAGGACGCCGACAAGCAUAA